rnacentral:rRNA from 1 species
GAUGAACGCUGGCGGCGUGCCUAAUACAUGCAAGUAGAACGCUGAAGGAAGGAGCUUGCUCUUUCCGGAUGAGUUGCGAACGGGUGAGUAACGCGUAGGUAACCUGCCUGGUAGCGGGGGAUAACUAUUGGAAACGAUAGCUAAUACCGCAUAACAGUAGAUGUUGCAUGAUAUCUACUUAAAAGGUGCAAUUGCACCACUACCAGAUGGACCUGCGUUGUAUUAGCUAGUUGGUGAGGUAACGGCUCACCAAGGCGACGAUACAUAGCCGACCUGAGAGGGUGGUCGGCCGCACUGGGACUGGGACACGGCCCAGACGCCUACGGGAGGCAGCAGUAGGGAAUCUUCGGCAAUGGACGGAAGUCUGACCGAGGAACGCCGCGUGAGUGAAGAAGGUUUUCGGAUCGUAAAGCUCUGUUGUAAGAGAAGAACGAGUGUGAGAGUGGAAAGUUCACACUGUGACGGUAUCUUACCAGAAAGCGACGGCUAACUACGUG